GCCAGGUCCUCCCUGCCCCUUGUCUGGGCAUCUUCAGCCUUCACCACCCCCCACAGAUGCUUGGUGGCUGCAGCCAGAGGAACAGAUGGGGCACAAUUGCUGAGCCUCAGUGAAUGGUACCCGGCACACAGCCGCUGUGGAAACGGCCCAGGCGAGAACCACUGAAGCAGGCUUUCUGAAAAGCUGCCCUGGUAACACCGCUAAAAUUGGAAAAGAGGCAGGGUGUGUAGGGGGGCAGAGUGGGAGGCUGGUGGGAGAGAAGAAGGACGAUCAAAAACAGAGAAGGGAACUAAAACAGACUAUUGGAAUAAAAUUUCUUACCAGUUAAAAACUGGGCUUCCCAGGAAAAAAGCUAAAACACUGUGGCUAGUGAGCAAAACCCCAGGAAGGGAAGCCUUUGUGACCUCAGGGAUUGGGCAAAAAGGCCAAGAGUCUGUGGUAUCUCAUCCUGACACUGUUUCUAAGCCCAUAGUCUCCUCCCAGCUGUGGCUCCCACCAAGAGCCUUUCCAGUAUGAAAUACAGGGGGCAGGGGGAAGUGUGUGGAGGAGGAAAGCCCCAGGGGCUGAGGGAGGUGUUGUUGUCCCAACCCCUGCUGUUCCUCUAGGCAACCAAUACACCACAUGACAGUCAAUGGCCUGUGGAUGGAGCCAAACUGUGGUGCUCUGCCGCCUGGGUCCCCUUUAAACACUUCUGCCGCCAUUUCUGUGCCAGCUCUAGUGUCUACAUCUUGACUGUUUCUAUCGUCACUCCUCACCCGUCAUGCUUUCCCAAGUCAGGUAUUGUAACAGAACUAGAAGUAGUAACAAUAACUUGUAACGUGAAGAGCUGCUAUGUGACAGUCAUGACGCUAUAUAUUAUUUCAUGUAAUCCCCUUAACAACCUUCUGGAACAAGCAUUAUCUCCACUUUGCAGGGCACAUCUGACUCAAGUCAGAUGGGAGAGGCAUCCUGCUGCAUUUAUCCUCAAGGAAGAAAAUCACAGACAGGCAAAGUGCAGCACUGCUCAUCCCAGGCACCCACAGUCUCCUCACCCAGGGGACCUUGCUGACACAAUGACAAAGGUGGAAGAUGGAAUGAGUGCACCUGGAGGAGAGCUGAAAACUCACCUGUAGAGGCUCAAAAUCUCGACUGUGCUUCCCUCCUUUCCAAUCUCCUUUACCUCCAAACUCCAUAACUGAGCCCCUACAUCUUUACACAUGGCAUGUCAACUAGAUUCUUAGGAAACAGAAACUCAGACUUAA